rnacentral:misc_RNA from 1 species
UGGCAAUGGCUUUUUAAAAAGAAAAUUUAAAAAAAAAAAAUGUGCAAGAAGUUCUCCCCCCACCUUCUCUCUCUCCUAUCUCUCACUUCUCCCUCUCUUUUUCUUUCAUCUUCGGUGAGCCACCACCUACCGCCAGCGGCACCCUCUAAUAAUGACACUUCUUCCGGCAACCACCAUGAGGCCGUGAACGGCGACCAGGACCACCAAAAGCAGCGGUAAACGAGGGGUGAGAGAGAAAGACAAGCGCGCGAAGGCAAGAGCUUUCUGGCGUGAUUCCGGUGUCGUUCGACAUCGAAUGGACGUGAUUCUGGUGCCAUUGGAAUCCUCAUUCCACGAGCUUUCUUUUGGGACCAACUUUGCAUCAAAUGGUGGUCGGAGGAGAAAGUCAAGAAUGAGAGAAGUUUCAGGUUUUUCAAGCUUUCUGAUUAGAUCUCAGAUGAUCCGACCAUUGGAUCGACGAUCUAG